CCUACGGGUGGCAGCAGUGGGGAAUAUUGCACAAUGGGGGCAACCCUGAUGCAGCGACGCCGCGUGAGUGAAGAAGUAUUUCGGUAUGUAAAGCUCUAUCAGCAGGGAAGAUAAUGACGGUACCUGACUAAGAAGCCCCGGCUAACUACGUGCCAGCAGCCACGGUAAUACGUAGGGGGAAAGCGUUAGCCGAAUGUACUGGGUGUAAAGGGUGCGGAGGGGGCAGGGCAAGUCAGAGGUGAAAGCCCCGGGCUUAACCCCGGAAUUGCAUUUGAAACUGUCCAGCUGGAGUGGAGUAGAGGGAAGCGGAAUUCCUAGUGUAGCGGUGAAAUGCGUAGAGAUUAGGAGGAACACCAGUGGCGAAGGCGGCUCACUGGACUGUAACUGACACUGAGGCACGAAAGCGUGGGGAGCAAACAGGAUUAGAUACCCCGGUAGUC
rnacentral:rRNA from 1 species